rnacentral:pre_miRNA from 1 species
CGUAAAAUAAGGUCAGCCACUGUCAACCGCACACGGAUAUUCGUUCGGAGGUAAUGAACAUCUGUUCAAUUACCUCCAGACGCGUGUCUGUGUGCGGUUGACAGUGGUUGACCUUAUUUUACGAUGUUUUAUG